UACAGAGGGGGCAAGCGUUAUUCGGAAUUAUUGGGCGUAAAGGGCGCGUAGGCGGCCUGGCAAGUGACGGGUGAAAGCCCUCGGCUUAACCGAGGAACUGCCUGUCAGACUGUUAGGCUUGAGACCGGGAGAGGUGAGUGGAAUUCCCAGUGUAGCGGUGAAAUGCGUAGAUAUUGGGAGGAACACCGGUGGCGAAGGCGGGUCUCUGGGCCGAUACUGACGCUGAGGAGCGAAAGCGUGGGGAGCGAACAGG
rnacentral:rRNA from 1 species